rnacentral:rRNA from 1 species
AUGCAAUUGAAGACGAUGUUGCCAAGUCGACAUCAUCGAAGACUACUAAAUCUAGAAGAUCAAAGGUCAUAUCUGCUGCGCCUGACAGCCCCGCAAUGGGCACUCAAAGCAAGAAGAGAGCUGCACCUAACAGCCAAGCAAUGGCCAGUCGAAGCAAAAAAAACUCGUGUGAGCAUCCACAGUGAUGGGUUCUUGUGCGGAUUAUCAGAGGCAGCAGCACCGUCGUGGAGUACAUGUACAUCAAUGUCGACGGUGCCGGCAGCAACGACACAAGGUGGGCGAUUUGACCAGCGCAACAUUCUUGUAAGAAAGAUUUAUUCCUUACAAUCCAAAGCCUCUCCUUAA